AGAACGAACGCUGGCGGCAGGCUUAACACAUGCAAGUCGAACGCGUGUAGCAAUACACGAGUGGCGCACGGGUGAGUAACGCGUGGAUAUCUGCCUUUUGGUUCGGAAUAACCCCGGGAAACUGGGGCUAAUACCGGAUGGUUCCUACGGGAUAAAGAUUUAUCGCCAAAAGAUGAGUCCGCGUACGAUUAGCUAGUUGGUGAGGUAAUGGCUCACCAAGGCGACGAUCGUUAGCUGGUCUGAGAGGACGAUCAGCCACACUGGGACUGAGACACGGCCCAGACUCCUACGGGAGGCAGCAGUGGGGAAUAUUGGACAAUGGGGGCAACCCUGAUCCAGCCAUGCCGCGUGAGUGAUGAAGGCCUUGGGUUGUAAAGCUCUUUUGGCGGGGACGAUGAUGACGGUACCGCAGAAUAAGCCCGGCUAACUUCGCGCCAGCAGCCGC
rnacentral:rRNA from 1 species